UGCCCAGAGUCCGCGGCCAGGGCAUGGGAGGAGCCAAGCCACCAUGGCCUACUACAGCCUCCUGGUGGAGCCCAUCAGCUGCCACGCCUGGAACAAGGACCAUGCCCAGAUCGCCAUUUGCCCCAACAACCAUGAGGUGCACAUCUACGAAAAGAGUGGAGCCAAAUGGACCAAGGUGCACGAGCUCAAGGAGCACAAUGGGCAGGUGACAGGCAUCGACUGGGCUCCUGAGAGUAACUGAACUGUGACCUGUGGCACAGACCGCAACGCCUACGUUUGGACGCCGAAGGGCCGCACAUGGAAGCCCACGCUGGUCAUCCUGCGGAUCAACCGGGCCGCCCGCUGCAUGUGCUGGGCCCCCAACGAGAACAAGUUCGUGUCAUCUCCAUCAGUUAUUUCGAGCAGGAGAAUGACUGGUGGGUUUGCAAGCACAUCAAGAAGCCCAUCCACUCCACGGUCCUCAGCCUGGACUGGCACCCCAACAAUGUGCUGCUGGCUGCCAGCUCCUGUGACUUCAAGUGCCGGAUCUUAUCAGCCUACAUCAAGGAGGUGGAGGAGCGGCCGGCACCCACACCAUGGGGCUCUAAGACGCCCUCUGGGGAGCUGAUGUUUGAGUCCAGCAGUAGCUGCGGCUGGGUACAUGGCGUCUGCUUCUCAGCCAGCGGGAGCCGCUUGGCCUGGGUGAGCCAUGACAGCACCGUGUGCCUGGCUGAUGCCGAGAAGAAGAUGGCCGUCGCGACCCUGGCCUCUGAAACACUGCCACUGCUGGCGCUGACCUUCAUCACAGACAAAAGCCUGGUGGCAGCGGGCAUGACGGCUUCCCGGUGCUGUUCACCUACAAAGCCGCUGCGGGGACGCUGAGCUUUGGUGGGCGGCUGGAUGUGCCCAAGCAGAGCUCGCAGCGCGGCUUGAUGGCCCGCGAGGCUUCCAAAACCUUGACAAGAAGGCGAACUCCGAGGGAGGCACCUCCACGGGCUCGGUCCUGGACUCGCUGCACAAGAAUAGCGUCAGCCAGAUCUCGGUGCUCAGCGGGGGCAAGGCCAAGUGCUCACAGUUCUGCACCGGUGGCAUGGACGGUGGCAUGAGUAUCUGGGAUGUGAAGAGCUUGGAGUCAGUCUUGAAGGACCUCAAGAUCAAAUGACCUGUGCGGAAUGUCUUCAUCCCAGCUGCUGGGGAAGUGGGGCAAGGGAUCAGGGAGGCUACUGAUUGCUUUGCUGAAUGUUUCUGGGGUACUGGUAUGAGUUCCCACACGGGCUGCUCCCUCAAAAAGGGAGGGGACAGAUGGGGAGCUUUUCUUACCUACUCAAGGAAUAUGUGCCUUUUUCUUAAAGAAAUGCUUUCAUUUAUUGGAAAAAAAAAAAUGCCCCCAAAGCACUAUGCUGGUCAUGAACUGCUUCAAAAUGUGGAGGUAAUAAAAUGCAAUUGUGU